rnacentral:misc_RNA from 1 species
GGAGAUAAGUGCUGCCUAUGAGGUAUGCAUAAAAAUGUUGGACUCAACCUGUCCAGUUGAACUUCUUUUUGACUUCAUGUUUUGAGAUGGUAGCAUCCUCAAAUUAAUAGAACUUUAUGCAUGAAUUAUAUGGUCUAUUUUUUAUACUGGGGACAACUAUCGUCCAUCUGUUUGUUGUGCAAGGGGCAACUUUCCAUAGACCGCCUCAAGCAUGUAAGUCCAAUUUCUCUUGCCUUUUCUAUAAGGUGUAUCGGAUGGAUUACUGGAUUCUUAGUCUAGUAAUUCUGUGGUCCUUUCGCUUUUGGCUGGAUUUAUAAUCCCAGUCUUUCUUUUCAGCUUAAUGGUUGACAAACUGUCUGGUAAAGCACCUUCCAUGGUCUCACUAAUUAUUCCAGAAUUCAUCCUGGCUUGUACAUUUAAUAUUUCAUAAUUUUUGCUUGACUGAAUUAUAGAAUUAAUUUCACCUAUUCCUUGAUUCAGAUGGAUAUUUCGUUAUCAUCUCUAACUUUAAUUUAUUUUCCUAAAAAUCUGUCAACUUUAAUUUAAAUAAAAUUUUUAUAACCUGAUAUCACAAAUUUUCACGUGAAAAAGGGAAAUUAUCAAACUGCUCUUCUCUUUUCUCUUCUUUGCCCUUUUUUCCUCUCUCUCUUCUUUGUCUUUCUCUUUUCUCGCUGUUCUUUGUCCCUCUCUUUUCUCUCUCUCUCUCUC